rnacentral:rRNA from 1 species
AACAGGAUUAGAUACCCUGGUAGUCCACGCUGUAAACGAUGUCGAUUUGGAGGUUGUGCCCUUGAGGCGUGGCUUCCGGAGCUAACGCGUUAAAUCGACCGCCUGGGGAGUACGGCCGCAAGGUUAAAACUCAAAUGAAUUGACGGGGGCCCGCACAAGCGGUGGAGCAUGUGGUUUAAUUCGAUGCAACGCGAAGAACCUUACCUACUCUUGACAUCCAGAGAACUUAGCAGAGAUGCUUUGGUGCCUUCGGGAACUCUGAGACAGGUGCUGCAUGGCUGUCGUCAGCUCGUGUUGUGAAAUGUUGGGUUAAGUCCCGCAACGAGCGCAACCCUUAUCCUUUGUUGCCAGCGGUUCGGCCGGGAACUCAAAGGAGACUGCCAGUGAUAAACUGGAGGAAGGUGGGGAUGACGUCAAGUCAUCAUGGCCCUUACGAGUAGGGCUACACACGUGCUACAAUGGCGUAUACAAAGAGAAGCGACCUCGCGAGAGCAAGCGGACCUCAUAAAGUACGUCGUAGUCCGGAUUGGAGUCUGCAACUCGACUCCAUGAAGUCGGAAUCGCUAGUAAUCGUAGAUCAGAAUGCUACGGUGAAUACGUUCCCGGGCCUUGUACACACCGUCCGUCACACCAUGGGAGUGGGUUGCAAAAGAAGUAAGUAGCUAAUCUUCGGGAGGGCGCUUACCACUUUGUGAUUCAGACUGGGGUGAAGUCCUAACAAGUAACCGUAGGGGAACUGCUGGCUGGAUCACCUCCUU